GUUUGGCACGUUGACAGCUCAGCGGGCUGGUGAGGCCAGAAGGUGAGGGUCCCAGUGAGGGACCUGCCAGCCAGUCCUAUAUUCCUUGGGUGGACAGGUGAGGAGGGACCACCCCGGAGAAGAGUACACGUAGGCAGUUGGCUGAGCAUCAGAGAGUUCUGCCAGGGGCUUCGACCUGCGGAGGGACUGGCUUCGCGUGACCACAAACACUGCCGGAGGCCAAGCCCUCUCCCAAGAGCCUCAGGUAAAUGAUCUCAUUGGCACAGACAAGGAGACUGAAUCUCAGAGAGCUUAAGCGACUUGCCCAAGUUUGAUUCAGGAUAGAUGGAGCCGGGAUUUGAGAGCCUAUUUUAUCAGCCGUUGGUCUCCUGUUGGCGCUGAGGAAACAGAAGCUCACGGAAAUGAAUGAAUGCGCUCAAAAUCACCUGGACAGCAGACAGCGAGGGCAGGAUCUACCCAAGGCGGCCGACUCAGAGCUUCUGGCUCAGACCCGCACCCCAGCCCCUGAGCUUCCGGGGUGCAGCACCUAUGGACUCAGUUCAUUCUCCCAAUAAGUGGUGUUUCGGGGUGCUGCGGAGCGUGGGGGCUGGAGGUACUAUAAUCUUCCAUCUUCCUGAGGAAACUGAGGCUCCAACAAGAAAAGGGACCCCCCUGAGUUUGCAGAGUUAGGCCAUGGUGGUGAACCUCAUCUGCUGGAAUUCCUGAAGGCUUUGCUAAGCUUUGCUGCCAGCUUCCCAUCCCCCACCUCCCCAC